rnacentral:lncRNA from 1 species
CACGUCUGUAUAAUUAUUCUUCUAGUUUAUCUCAUAUUGUUUACACAUGAUAUUUUUGUUGUUGUACUUGGAUUUUUCAAAACAUAGUUAUGGCCAAGGUACAAUAAGAUACCUUGUUAGGGUAACAUUUAAUUGGGUGAAUUAUGUUUGAUAACAUUUAUAUCUAGACCUGUUCUACUAGUCAAAUAAAAUUCCAUGUAAUGACACGUUGUAUCAAACAUAUCAUUCUGAAA